rnacentral:rRNA from 1 species
UGGGGAAUUUUGGACAAUGGGCGCAAGCCUGAUCCAGCCAUGCCGCGUGCGGGAAGAAGGCCUUCGGGUUGUAAAACCGCUUUUGUCAGGGGAAGAAAUCUUCUGAGUUAAUACCUCGGGAGGAUGACGGUACCUGAAGAAUAAGCACCGGCUAACAACGUGCCAGCAGCCGCGGUAAUACGUAGGGUGCAAGCGUUAAUCGGAAUACUGGGCGUAAAGCGUGCGCAGGCGGUUUUGUAAGACAGAGGUGAAAUCCCCGGGCUCAACCUGGGAACUGCCUUUGUGACUGCAAGGCUUGAGUGCGGCAGAGGGGGGAAUGGAAUUCCGCGUGUAGCAGUGGAAAUGCGUAGAUAUGCGGAGGAACACCGAUGGCGAAGGCAAUCCCCUGGGCCUGCACUGACGCUCAUGCACGAAAGCGUGGGGAGCAAACAGGAUUAGAUACCCUGGUAGUCCACGCCCUAAAACGAUGUCAACUGGUUGUUGGGAAGGUUCCUUCUCAGU